rnacentral:rRNA from 1 species
UACGUAGGUGGCAAGCGUUGUCCGGAUUUAUUGGGCGUAAAGGGGGCGCAGACGGCGAUGCAAGCCAGGAGUGAAAGCCCGGGGCCCAACCCCGGGACUGCUCUUGGAACUGCGUGGCUGGAGUGCAGGAGGGGCAGGCGGAAUUCCUGGUGUAGCGGUGAAAUGCGUAGAUAUCAGGAGGAACACCGGUGGCGAAGGCGGCCUGCUGGACUGCAACUGACGUUGAGGCCCGAAAGCGUGGGGAGCAAACAGG